GUACUUUUUGUAGAACGGACCGGCGAGUUACGUUAUGCAGCGAGGUUAAGAACUAAAGGUUUGGAGCCGAAGCGAAAGCGAGUCUGAACAGGGCGAAGAGUUGCAUGACGUAGACCCGAAACCGGGUGACCUAUCCAUGGGCAGGUUGAAGUGGAAGUAAAAUUUCAUGGAGGACCGAACCAGACGUCUGUUGAAAAAGGCGGGGAUGACCUGUGGAUAGCGGAGAAAUUCCAAUCGAACCCGGAGAUAGCUGGUUCUCCUCGAAAUAGCUUUAGGGCUAGCCUCGCAUUAGUUUACCGGAGGUAGAGCACUGAAUGGUCUAGGGGGCCUCACCGCCUACCGAAACCUAUCAAACUGCGAAUGCCGGAUAAAUGAUGUGCGGGAGUCAGGCCGCGAGAGAUAAGUUCCGCGGUCAAAAGGGGAACACCCCAGAUCGUCUGCUAAGGUCCCCAAGUACGCGUUAAGUGGGAAAGGAUGUUGGAUUGCACAGACAACCAGGAUGUUGGCUUAGAAGCAGCCACACAUUCAAAGAGUGCGUAAUAGCUCACUGGUCGAGUGAUCCAGCGCCGAAAAUGUAACGGGGCUAAAACGCGACACCGAAGCAGCGGGAUGCGUAAGCAUCGGUAGAGGAGCAUUGUGUGAGGAUAGAAGCCAGAGCGGGAGCACUGGUGGACUUCACAGAAGAGAGAAUGCCGGUAUGAGUAGCGAGACCCAUGCGAGAAACAUGGGCGUCGAAGGCCCAAGGUUUCCUGGGGAAGGUUCAUCCACCCAGGGUAAGUCGGGACCUAAGCCGAGGACUGAGGUCGUAGGCGAUGGACAGCAGGUAGAGAUUCCUGCACCACUUACACUUGUUUGACGAAGCAGUGACACAGAAGGAUAGGACGAGCGCGGUGAUGGUCAACCGCGUAGGCGGCACGAGGCUGGGGAGCAGUAAAGUACACUUCCCGGGAAGGCUGAGUGCUGACAGGACCGAAAAAGAGUAGGGAAGCGUCUGAGUUCACGCUGGCGAGAAAAGCUGCUAAGGAGAGUGUGAGUGCCCGUACCGGAAACCGACGCAGGUGGGCGAGGAGAGAAUCCUGAGACGGACGGGAGAACUCUUGUUAAGGAACUCGGCAAAAUGACCCCGUAACUUCGGGAGAAGGGGUGCCUCGAAAGAGGCCGCAGAGAAUAGUCACAAGCGACUGUUUAGCAAAAACACAGGUAUCUGCGAAAGCGAGAGCUGACGUAUAGGUGCUGACGCCUGCCCGGUGCUGGAAGGUUAAGGGGAAGUGUUAGGGGAAACCCGAAGCAGAGAACCGAAGCCCCAGUAAACGGCGGCCGUAACUAUAACGGUCCUAAGGUAGCGAAAUUCCUUGUCGGGUAAGUUCCGACCC
rnacentral:rRNA from 1 species